AUGAAAGAACUCCGUAUCUUGUCAGGGAUUGAGAUCGAUGAGGACUCAUCAGCUGUAGCAAGUCUUCAUCAGCUGACAGGGCUAAAAAAACUUGCCAUUUACAAGCUCAAUAUAAGGGAGGGUGGUCAGACCUUCAAACAAUUACGCUCCUCCAUUGAGUACCUCUGUAGCUGCGGUCUGCAGACAAUGGCAAUCAAUGAUGAGAGCUCUAAUUUUAUUAACUCACUAGACACCAUGACCACUCCACCAAGAUACAUCAUCGGCCUAGAGUUGUCUGGCAAGAUGGAAAGGCCCCCACAGUGGAUCAAAGAACUCAAUAACCUCUAUAAGCUGACCCUUUCUGUGACAGUUCUUCAGACUGAUACUUUCAAGCUCAUCCAGGACCUGCCCAAAUUGUUUACGCUCACCUUUACACUCAAUGCAACCAAGGAUGAUAGGGACAUAGUGGACAUUCUUGAGGAAAAUAAACAACUUACCGAUAGGGAGAUCAUUAUUCCACCUGGAGGAUUCAAGACUCUAAAGCUUCUUCGCUUCUUUGCAACUAUGGUGCCAAGGCUGAGCUUUGCAGUUACAGGAAAAGAGGUAAUGCCAGCACUGGAGAGGAUUGAUAUGCGGUUUGAAGCCUUUGAAGGGAUUUACGGCAUUGAGACUCUCAAGAGCCUCCAAGAGGUGCAUCUCAGUGUUGGUAAUCAAGCAGAUGAAAUAACCAAGUUCUUGGUACAAGAUUUGAAGGACACCCCCAAGUACUUGGAUGAAAAGUAUGCCAACAAGUGGCCAAAGAUAAUCACCGAGUGA
rnacentral:rRNA from 1 species